rnacentral:rRNA from 1 species
UUGAACGCUGGCGGCAUGCUUUACACAUGCAAGUCGAACGGCAGCGCGGGCUUCGGCCUGGCGGCGAGUGGCGAACGGGUGAGUAAUACAUCGGAACGUGCCCAGUAGUGGGGGAUAGCUCGGCGAAAGCCGGAUUAAUACCGCAUACGACCUGAGGGUGAAAGCGGGGGAUCUUCGGACCUCGCGCUAUUGGAGCGUCCGAUGGCAGAUUAGCUAGUUGGUGGGGUAAAGGCCUACCAAGGCGACGAUCUGUAGCUGGUCUGAGAGGACGACCAGCCACACUGGGAAUGAGACACGGCCCAGACGCCUACGGGAGGCAGCAGUGGGGAAUUUUGGACAAUGGGCGAAAGCCUGAUCCAGCAAUGCCGCGUGUGUGAUGAAGGCCUUAGGGUUGUAAAGCACUUUUGGCGGGAACGAAAAGGACUGUGCCAAUACCACGGUUCGAUGACGGUACCCGCAGAAUAAGCACCGGCUAACUACGUG